rnacentral:rRNA from 1 species
UGAGGAAUAUUGGUCAAUGGGCGAGAGCCUGAACCAGCCAAGUAGCGUGCAGGAUGACGGCCCUAUGGGUUGUAAACUGCUUUUAUAUGGGAAUAAAGUGAGGGACGUGUCCCUUAUUGCAUGUACCAUACGAAUAAGGACCGGCUAAUUCCGUGCCAGCAGCCGCGGUAAUACGGAAGGUCCAGGCGUUAUCCGGAUUUAUUGGGUUUAAAGGGAGCGUAGGCUGUUUGUUAAGCGUGUUGUGAAAUGUAGACGCCCAACGUCUGCAUCGCAGCGCGAACUGGGACGCUUGAGUACGCGCAACGUUGGCGGAAUUCGUCGUGUAGCGGUGAAAUGCUUAGAUAUGACGAGGAACUCCGAUUGCGAAGGCAGCUGACGGGAGCGGCACUGACGCUUAAGCUCGAAGGUGCGGGUAUCAAACAGG